rnacentral:rRNA from 1 species
GAUGAACGCUGGCGGCGUGCCUAAUACAUGCAAGUAGAACGCUGAAGGAGGAGCUUGCUCUUCUGGAUGAGUUGCGAACGGGUGAGUAACGCGUAGGUAACCUGCCUGGUAGCGGGUGAUAACUAUUGGAAACGAUAGCUAAUACCGCAUGACAACAGUUAUUGCAUGAUAACUGUUUAAAAGGGGCAACUGCUCCACUACCAGAUGGACCUGCGUUGUAUUAGCUAGUUGGUGAGGUAACGGCUCACCAAGGCGACGAUACAUAGCCGACCUGAGAGGGUGAUCGGCCACACUGGGACUGAGACACGGCCCAGACUCCUACGGGAGGCAGCAGUAGGGAAUCUUCGGCAAUGGACGGAAGUCUGACCGAGCAACGCCGCGUGAGUGAAGAAGGUUUUCGGAUCGUAAAGCUCUGUUGUAAGAGAAGAACGAGUGUGAGAGUGGAAAGUUCACACUGUGACGGUAGCUUACCAGAAAGGGACGGCUAACUACGUG